GGGUCAGUAGGUUGGUCGUGCCACCGGUACGUACUGGUCUCACUGAUUCCUCCUUCCUGAAGAACCGUAAUGCCAUUAAUUUGGUGUCGCGGGGGAACAGGACUGUUACUUUGAAAAAAUUAGAGUGUUCAAAGCAAGCUAACGCUUGAAUACAUUAGCAUGGAAUAAUGAAAUAGGACGAUCGAUCCUAUUUUGUUGGUUUCUAGGAUUGACGUA
rnacentral:rRNA from 1 species